CUGAUAAGACGUCCUGUUGUGAAAAGGCCACUUAUCUCUUUCAAGUGUACUUGUGUGUGAAAAUAACCGUAUUUGUACUCAUGUGAGUUUGUGUGAGGGAGAAAGACAACGAGCAACAGCUUUCACAGGGGUCAGAAAACACAAAAGAAGGUGCUUAAAAGUCGGACCAUAAAACUGGAGAAAGUGCUUGGAGUAAAGAGGAUUUGGGAUCGUUGGCCAUUUUGGAGAGGAGUCUUUGAGAAGGUGGUGAAAGGAAACGCCCGCCAAUGAGCCGUCCGCUGAGACGCGGGAGGAGAAAACUGCUAUCACUCUGUGAACACCACGGGAGAGCUGCUUAAUGGAGGGAAAACAGCGAUUUCUGUGACUGAGAGACGUACGGUCUGUGUGUGUAACUAAGCGAGACAGUGCGUGGGUUUUUCAUGCAGCUGCUCCAGUUUCGCUUCAGCAGCAGUGGAAAUUCCGGAGAAGGAAAGCAGAGCAGGAACGACGCUUUCUGCCCGAUUGCAAAGAGACCAUUUGGAACUCAUCUCUUCCCUUCUUCUUUCCUUUGGCCCUGAAUAAACUCUCCAGUCCAUCUAUCUGAAGAAUGUGCAGAAUGUCAGGGUUGUUCUGGUUCUGGUCCGAUGUGGUGGGACUGAGCAGCGAUCAUCUCUCCUGAAUGUGCUUUAACACACAUGUCUUCUCCCACUCACACUCCUCAAGUUCACGGGUAAAUACUAU